rnacentral:rRNA from 1 species
AUUGAACGCUGGCGGAAUGCUUUACACAUGCAAGUCGAACGGUAGAGGGGGCAACCCCUUGAGAGUGGCGAACGGGUGAGUAAUAUAUCGGAACGUGCCCAGUCGUGGGGAUAACGUAGCGAAAGUUACGCUAAUACCGCAUACGAUCUAAGGAUGAAAGCGGGGGACUCGCAAGAGCCUCGCGCGAUUGGAGCGGCCGAUAUCAGAUUAGGAGUUGGUGGGGUAAAGGCUCACCAAGCCAACGAUCUGUAGCUGGUCUGAGAGGACGACCAGCCACACUGGAACUGAGACACGGUCCAGACUCCUACGGGAGGCAGCAGUGGGGAAUUUUGGACAAUGGACGCAAGUCUGAUCCAGCCAUUCCGCGUGCAGGAUGAAGGCCCUCGGGUUGUAAACUGCUUUGUACGGAACGAAAGGUUUCUAUUAAUACUAGGAGCUCAUGA